rnacentral:rRNA from 1 species
GGUGAACGCUGGCGGUAGGCCUAACACAUGCAAGUCGAACGGCAGCACAGUAAGAGCUUGCUCUUACGGGUGGCGAGUGGCGGACGGGUGAGGAAUACAUCGGAAUCUACUUUUUCGUGGGGGAUAACGUAGGGAAACUUACGCUAAUACCGCAUACGACCUACGGGUGAAAGCAGGGGAUCUUCGGACCUUGCGCGAUUGAAUGAGCCGAUGUCGGAUUAGCUAGUUGGCGGGGUAAAGGCCCACCAAGGCGACGAUCCGUAGCUGGUCUGAGAGGAUGAUCAGCCACACUGGAACUGAGACACGGUCCAGGCCCCUACGGGAGGCAGCAGUGGGGAAUAUUGGACAAUGGGCGCAAGCCUGAUCCAGCCAUACCGCGUGGGUGAAGAAGGCCUUCGGGUUGUAAAGCCCUUUUGUUGGGAAAGAAAAGCAGCAAGUUAAUACCCCGCUGUUCUGACGGUACCCAAAGAAUAAGCACCGGCUAACUUCGUG